rnacentral:rRNA from 1 species
GGGUUGUGAGGUUAAGCGACUAAGCGUACACGGUGGAUGCCCUGGCAGUCAGAGGCGAUGAAGGGCGUGCUAAUCUGCGAUAAGCGCCGGUAAGGUGAUAUGAACCGUUAUAACCGGCGAUACCCGAAUGGGGAAACCCAGUGUGAUUCGUCACACUAUCAUUAACUGAAUCCAUAGGUUAAUGAGGCGAACCGGGGGAACUGAAACAUCUAAGUACCCCGAGGAAAAGAAAUCAACCGAGAUUCCCCCAGUAGCGGCGAGCGAACGGGGAGGAGCCCAGAGCCUGAAUCAGCAUGUGUGUUAGUGGAAGCGUCUGGAAAGGCGCGCGAUACAGGGUGACAGCCCCGUACACAAAAGCGCAUGUGCUGUGAGCUCGAUGAGUAGGGCGGGACACGUGGUAUCCUGUCUGAAUAUGGGGGGACCAUCCUCCAAGGCUAAAUACUCCUGACUGACCGAUAGUGAACCAGUACCGUGAGGGAAAGGCGAAAAGAACCCCGGCGAGGGGAGUGAAAAAGAACCUGAAACCGUGUACGUACAAGCAGUGGG